UGGAUUUUCUUCUACUUUCUCUGCUUUGAAGACAUUAUAAUCUUGCAAGUGUUAAUUUUUGACUAGUUCUAGCAUAGACUUAGGACAGGAAGAAGCCUGUUUAGGGCUGUUGGAGUUUGGAUCUUGUGCAAUGUGUGGGAGUUGUGCUCCAGCUAUUUUUCUGUUAGGUAUAUGAGAAAAGGCAGGGGAAGUAGGAAGAGCUCAAGCUUUGCUUAUUUUUUUAUGCUGCAAACAGGGUAGCUCUGUAGAGGAAAAAGGAUUUGAAGUGUUGACCUGGAAUGUUAAAGUCACGGGUAACACUUGACAGCAUUUUCUCUCUUAGGAGUAUCUCAGACAUAUGGGAAGGUGGUCAAGAACAGGAGCUGCUGCUACUGUCCUUUUGACUGGAAAUAGUAGAUGCCAAUAGAAUCAAGAGCAGGAUAAACAAAUAAGAUGCAGGACAAUUGCAGGAGCUCUCAGAGUCCUGGUGUUUCAGGCCUGCAGAAGCUCUGCCUUGUGUACUAGGCUGUGGGGCUGCCUGAGGAGCUUUCACAAAUAGCACUUUUAUGUGGCUUAUUGCUAGCUGUGCAGCACUCACACAACCGCGCAGUAUUUACUGGUUGGAAUUGUUGGGCCAGCUGGAUCACAGUUCACACAGCCAUGUGUCUUCCCAGAAGUCAGUGAGAUGUGUGUUUGCACAUCCCAGCAAGCUCUGCUUACCCCACGUUGUCUCAGUGCCAGCUGACCGCAGGAUCCAUCCAGCCGACCACUUUGUGGUGAUGAAUUGCUGUAUUUGCUACUGGCUGCAUAUGGCAGAGAGCUUAAGAUCUCCAUGAAGGAAAAUGAUUAUCGUUGAGUCACGCCAAUAGCUGCGACGCUGGCUGCCUGCCCCCGCCAGCCUGCUGCACCACUUGUGUGCUAAUGUUUGGAUCCUAGUGAUGGGAAAUGAAUGUCAGCCUGUACUCUCUUCACGCACCAUUGAGCUGUGCUUAUGGUCGCUUUUGGCAGCACCAAAUCAUCAAACAGAUAAAACCAUCAGUCUUUUUAUUUCCAAACAUUAACCUAACCGCUAAUGAAGCACAGCUCGUGUCACCCUUAUGGACUCUGCAGAGCUGAGUCACACGAUAAACGGGAUCCGAAUGCUGGAAAAUGGCUCGCGCUUCUUCCUCGUGCUGCAGCCAGGCCUGCUGUGUGAGCGGGGCCCGUCCGGAGGAGUUCUGCCUCAGGCCUGCAUGCUAGAGCUGGGUGGGAAAGCUGGUGGAGCUGGGCUCUGUCUACCCAGCGCAGCAUGGGGCUGUGACCUGUGUGUUUUGGGGUGUGCACAGUGGGCCAUUCAGCCCCAGUUCUGGUGGGGAGAGCUUUCCAGUCCCCAAGGUGGAGGAAAUGGAGCAAUCCUCCCUCCCCAUGGACUUUGCCUCCAGUGGCUUGAACGUAUUUUUCCCCAAACAUCUCCCAGCGAAACUGGAGGGGUUUUGUAAAUUCAUUAUGUCAUGGAGGAAUCUGUUUAAUCAGCUGCCUUUCCCCAGAGGCGCUUUGCGCUUAAUGAGACGCUUGAUGGAAGGAAUCAAAAUUGGUUCAUAUGAGUUUAGCCUGAGAGCCUCCAGCCGAUGUAUUACUGAGUGCACUGUAAUUUAGAGGGGUAAAUGGAGAGGCUGAGCAAUUAUCACCCUGCUUGCUUGAGGUCAGUGGCAGGGGUGAAAGGUAAAACCUAGAGCUCUGCAUUGCACCAUCCCCUUCCUAGGUGUCAUCGUGAUAAACAACACAAGUCUCUGUGCGACCAGGAGCCUGCUCCCUGCUGCUGGUGUGACCUGUUGGGCUCUCUUCCUUCCCACUGCAAUUUGCAGUCACGCAGUAAGGCACAUUUCUUGCUUAGCUUAAGUCUGAGGAUGUCUCACUAAUUCAGUAAGUAUCCGUAUGAGGCAUACAGCAUGUAUGUGGAAAAGGCAUCAAGAACAUAGAGAGCUAGAUAGUGGGACACAGAGCUGCAGCGUGGAAUAGUUCCAACUUUAGGUCCAAAAUCCAUUAUUAAAAUCUUCCCUUGUGAAAUUAAUGUAAGAAGAGCAAUCCUUUGUUUCCUCUGCACAUCCACCUUCUUCAGCUGCCUGUUCUAACCACCAGAUGUCAGUUACUUUGUGACCUGCCUUCCUGUGGCGGGCCAGCUCUGUGGCUGCCAGGCC